GCUUGGGUGGCUCAGUCAGUUGAGCAACUGACUUCGGCUCAGGUCAUGAUCUCACAGGUUUGUGAGUUCAAGCCCCGCAUCAGGCU
rnacentral:tRNA from 1 species